UUAUUGCAUAAAACACAUACCGAUAAUACCAUUUCACAUAAGAAGAUGACCAGUGCUAAGGCAAUAGGAGUUUUAUGCUUCCUAGUCUUUGUGGCCUUCUCUUCAUAUCCACACCGUGCACAAGCAGAUCACUGCGCCGCGGAUAAAAGUAAGGUGAUGAGGGAAUGUUGGAGGAACAUUGGGAAGAAUGUUGGCGAGCACCCCCUUCUACAUGGGAGCGCAUGUUGCCAGGUGAUAAGGGCAACAACAGACAUCCACUGCGUCUGUGAUAAAUUCACAGCUCCCGAACUGGCUAGGAUCAGCCUAGCCAAGUUUGCCAUGGCUACACAUGUGUGCGGCAAUGGGCUGCGUGCACACACUCACUGUGCAGGUUACACAGUUCCUGUUAUAACGCUACCUACACCCCCACCUCCGGGCAGUACCUAGAAAUUCAUUGUAAGGGCUGUCUGAUAAUGUGGAGAAAUAAGUGAAUAAAAAAAGGAAUGAUGUGGCAUUUGCAUAAUGUGUUCUUUAUUUGGAUGCAAAUAUAAAAGGAAAAUGGCCAUGAACUCGUCGUUCUUUCUAUUA